AUGACAGGCACGCUGGGGAAGGCUGCAUAUGUUGCACUGAUGCAGACCGUGAACAAGUCAAACAAAAGUGGAUAUGAAUCUCUCCUGAAGAUUUACAGGGAAACUGAUCUGAGCCAGGAAAAAGUCUGUGUGCUUGGUUCUUCGGCAUCGUCCCCUGACCCUGAUGUUGUUCGUGAAGCGCUAAAUUUCCUGCUAUCGUCUGAGGUAAGGAAUCAGGAUUGCAUAUUUGUGCUCCGCGGAGUGACUGCAGCAGCGCAUGAGGUGGCAUGGACAUGGUUGAAGGAAAACUGGGACUACAUAGCAAAGACAUUCACUGGACACCUGCUCACCUAUUUCAUCACCGUCACUGUCUCACCGCUUGCCACAGACGAGAAGGGUGACGAGGCAGAGGAGUUCUUCAACAGCAGGACCAAGGCGAGCAUAGCGAGGACGGUGAAGCAGAGCAUCAAGAGAGUGUGA
rnacentral:rRNA from 1 species